rnacentral:rRNA from 1 species
GAUGAACGUUGGCGGUGUGCCUAAUACAUAGCAAGUCGAACGGAGAUUGUAGCAAUACGGUCUUAGUGGCGAACGGGUGAGUAACGCGUUGGUGAUCUGCCUCGAAGUGUGGAAUAACGAUUCGAAAGAAUCGCUAAUACCGCAUAGUCUCCUUUUUCCAGAAAUUUGAGAGUAAAGGAUUUAUUCGCUUUGAGAGGAGCCUGCGUCCCAUCAGCUAGUUGGUAAGGUAAUGGCCUACCAAGGCGAUGACGGGUAGGGGACCUGAGAGGGUGGCCCCCCACAAUGGAACUGAAACACGGUCCAUACACCUACGGGUGGCAGCAGUGGGGAAUUUUGGACAAUGGGCGCAAGCCUGAUCCAGCCAUGCCGCGUGAGUGAAGAAGGCCUUCGGGUUGUAAAGCUCUUUCGGCCGGGAAGAAAUCGUAUGGGCUAAUACCCUGUGCGGAUGACGGUACCGGCAUAAGAAGCACCGGCUAACUACGUG